rnacentral:rRNA from 1 species
GAUGAACGCUGGCGGCGUGCCUAAUACAUGCAAGUCGAGCGAACGGACGAGAAGCUUGCUUCUCUGAUGUUAGCGGCGGACGGGUGAGUAACACGUGGAUAACCUACCUAUAAGACUGGGAUAACUUCGGGAAACCGGAGCUAAUACCGGAUAAUAUUUUGAACCGCAUGGUUCAAAAGUGAAAGACGGUCUUGCUGUCACUUAUAGAUGGAUCCGCGCUGCAUUAGCUAGUUGGUAAGGUAACGGCUUACCAAGGCAACGAUGCAUAGCCGACCUGAGAGGGUGAUCGGCCACACUGGAACUGAGACACGGUCCAGACUCCUACGGGAGGCAGCAGUAGGGAAUCCUCCGCAAAGGGCGAAAGCCUGACGGAGCAACGCCGCGUGAGUGAUGAAGGUCUUCGGAUCGUAAAACUCUGUUAUUAGGGAAGAACAUAUGUGUAAGUAACUGUGCACAUCUUGACGGUACCUAAUCAGAAAGCCACGGCUAACUACGUG